GGUUGAAUUUAUUUCACCUGCCUUCACUAAUCAAGGUCUUUUUCAGACUUGCAUUCUCUCCAAGUUGCACUUGGUCUAAACAAUUAGAUGUUUGCGGGAGUUAGUCUUCAGGAGUUUAGAGUCAGCUGCCUGCAGUUUGAACAGAGCUGAGACUCAGCUGUGUCUAGUUGAGACUGGGCUGAUUAAGACUGAAUAGGACCGCAGACUCUACAACUGGGCAUGCGCAAGUGUCCACUCCACGACCCUUUUACGUCAGAGGCCGGAAAGCUCCACCUUCAAAUGACGCUCAGUGCCUCCAUUUUUGAAGGUGAAUAGGCGUGUAUCUUAGUUACAUCUGCGCAGAACGAUGGUUUCCACACCUUUUCACGAUCACCUUCCCCACGGGCCCCACCCCUGGGUCCGCCCUGCUCUUUAUAACCCACUCUGCUGCAAACCUCGGCGUCUCAGCGUUUGCCUUGCUGCAAACUUCGGUAUUUUACUGUUUUGGCUUGUUGCAAACCUCAGCGUUUUAGCGUUUUAGCUAGUAGCUGCAGACCUCGGCAGCUUAGCGUUUUGGUUUGCUCCAAACCUUGGCUUCUCAGCAUUUUGGCUUGCUGUAUGUCGGACAAAAAGAACCUGAUUUGUUUUCUCUCUUGGCUGGACUCCGUCUACAGCAGAGAAGAGGGCAAAGUCAAGCAAAAAUAGCUCCAGCCCUCCCGGGAGACAGAUCCGCCCUCCAGCGCUCCGGCUUCCUUCUGCCUGAGUCACAGACCCGGGCCCAGCGCAUGCAGCGUGGACAGUGCCUGCUGCACCUUCUCCGGGCUCCUCUCCAGGAUAUGGCACCAUCUUUAUUCUCAGCCUACAGCACCCUGCAGACCCUCUCCACAUGUCAGCUUCCAGCCCCCCUAAACACUGCUGCCUCCAGGGAGCCCACCCAGCACCCCACCAAGGAAGUAACCCUCACACUGAGGCUGGGCUUGGACGAGUGACUUGUUUUGGAAAUGAGACAUUAGCAAAGGUGAUGCAAGAGAAAAGUUGAAAAUUGCUUGUUACUCCUGGAACCUGCCUCCUUGUGCCCAAACCCUGGCCCAGGACCUGCAAAGACCCAGCUGAGAGAGGCUGCCUUGAAUCAUCCAGCCCACCUGCCCCCUGUCCCCAAGACGUUUACUGCGCUGUCAUCACUUGCCCCAGCCCCUGGGCACCAUCCAGAUGCUGACCUAAGAAGAUAACCUUGGAGGAUGUGGCGCACGUCAUCAGUACCGCACGUGCAGAUGAGAGCUGGGGAAGUCCAGUUGCCCCAUCUCCGCCCCUCCGCGGGGGGCUGGCUCACAGGGCCAGCCUCCUCUCGGGUUGAUGCACCCGGCCCAGGGACUUCUGAAGACUGAAGAUGAAACUGGAGGAGGAAUCAAGGAGAACAGAGGUGGCACAGGUAUCUCUGGCACCUUCACAUGAUAAGCGCCUUACUGCGUGCCUCCAAAUUACAGAUUUUUGCAGCAAACCUGGGAGGCAGUGGCUUUUCUUUAUCUGAUCAUCUAAUGUAUAGCUGAUUGCUGGCAGAGGGGACGGUAGUGCCAUCCAGGCCCGCUUCCCAGGACGUGGAGAAGUGCCCUUGGGAGCAUCGAGGCUUGCAGCUUCUUUCUGGGUGUCCAUAUCAAAGCAGGAGCUUGACCGGAAUGACUUUCAUCUGCUCCACACAGCAUCCGCUGAGACGGCUCUAAUGGAGACUGGACAGUCCGCUUUGAACACAGAUCCCUCUCCUGGCUGGUGAGUUACCGCUGGCUGUCGGCUGGCAGCUCAGCUGGUCCGGGGCCUGGGAGGGAGGGCUUCGCUGCUGGGUGAUGGCUGAGUUCCCAGAACACGUGUCCCAAGAGAUGCAGACAGAAGGGCGUGGCACCUUCAUGCUCUGUGCUUGGAAAUCACAUAGCAUCACUUGCACCGUACCUUGUUAGUUGACAGAGUCACAAAGUCCUACUCGGGUUAAAAGGGAGAGGACAUAGAUUCCACCCAUGGGGUGGUGGCAAGUUCAAGUCGUACAGCGAGCAUGUGGAUGAGACGUGGUUAUAUUCUAACGCUCAUUAGCAGAGACGUUGAAACACUUAGAUCUUCAACAUAUCCGCUAUGCUCUUUGUGUAUAUUUUGUUGAAUGCUUUUGCUUGGUUUUUACCCCAUAAGUUGGACAUUUUGUUGAUUUCUAUAAUGCUCGACACCAAGGAAUACAUCUCUAAAGAACAUAGCUCACCUUUGCCUGCCUUUGAACUUCUAACGAAUGGAACCACAUGAUUAGGAAUAAUUUCUGUUAGUGCUUUCUUAUGUUUUGCAAAGUUACGUUUAUAAGACUGAUGCAUGUCGUUGCAAGUAGCUGUGCUUCGUCAUUUUCUCGGCUGCCUGCCUCUCUGAUACGAGCUACGCCAGCGUGUGAGCUGUGGUCCAAAGGGACCCUGGGCCAUUUCCAGGUUUGUUGAUUAGCGUUCUUGUCCACAUAUCCUAGUGCAAAGGUGCACAGGUUUCUUUGGUGUAUUACCCCCAAGAGGGGUGUUACACAUGCUGAUGUUACUAAACGAUGCCGAACUGUGCCAAUUUAUACUCCCACCAACCAGCACAAGAGUUCCUGUUCCAAAGCCUAACCGUAAUCUGAUUUUGCCAGAUUGUGUCGUAGGUUUGUAAUGGAAAACACCACCUUUAACCCUACCUUCACUGACCUUUUCUGCGUGCUGUCUUUCCAAGGAGCAAAUGUUCCCUCCUUCAGAGUCUGCCACUUCGGAUGCGUAGCUCAGGACCGCUAGACCUGCUUGUGCAGAAAUGCGUGGCUGAGUGUGCCCGGGCCGGAAACAGAGAGUGCCUGGAUUCUCCCAUUUCUGCUUAUGGGCUGCCUAGAUUUAGCUGGAGUUCUUGUUUCUCAUAGGAUUUUGUUCACAGCAGACAAAAAGUUGUCAGUAUAGCCCAUCAUUCUGGAUCUCUCUCACCUUUUCCCUAAUGCCACAGAUUUGGUCAAGUUACAGUCUAUCCUGCAAAGUAAUGCAGGUCUCAAAACCUGACUGAGCACCUCACUACUGUGUAAGGAGAGGCACCAGCUUCUGACCCUGCACCAGCUAAAAGUCAGGGUCUGUUACUGGAGAAGGGAGCGUGGACGUUAGUGGACCUCCAGCACUCUUGGCCACAGCUUCCUUCUGGCAUCACUUUUUAUUUUUGCUUAUAAACUCUUUGUUUUCUGGAGAAGUGUACUGUCCUAUGUCUUGGAUGACAGAGCUGGGCUGACGUUCCUUUUCCUCGUUCUGUCGUCUACCUGCUGUCCCUGCUGAUGGGCAGUCACGCAGGCUGCUGCUUCCCCUCGGUUACUUUCCAGGACACUUCUGUGUUUGGCUUUUCCAUGAUUCCUCAACAGUGUAACUAAGGAUAGGUUUUUUUAAAAAUGAUCUGACUUGGUUCGCAUGGGCAUCCCUGAAUGUGUGGAUUCAUGAGAAGCUGAGAAAAUUCUCAGACUUUUCUCUUUGAUCGUGACUUUCCUCAUCCCGUUCUCCUGGAAUUCCAACUAGACAUUUGACUUUCUCAUUCCACCCUCUGUAUAUCUUAACUUCUCUUUCCUGUCUCUGUGAGUAAUUCCUUCAUAAAUUUUUCUAGUUUCCCAAACUCCUAUUGUGUUACAACUUGUGAUGAUCAUAUUUUUUCAUUUCUAAAUUGCAAAAGUAGAUUAUUAAUCGUUAGACAUUGUUUUAAAAAGACAAAUUACUUAGCAAUUUACUAUAUGAAGUGAUACACACCAAAAAAAAAAAAAAAUCCUCCAAAAGGGAUUUUUGAAACCAUGUCAAGCCAGCCCGUUUAUUCAUUCCUUCAGUCUUGAAAUCCUGUGAGGGAAUCCUGUGUGUGGUCCUGAUGGUCUGGAGGACUCCUCUCCUGUGCUGAAAGCUGUAACUUCCUCUUGAAAAUUGUAAAUGGGAGACAUCCCUUGGGUUGGGAUACAGUACUGGGUGGAAGGAAAUGCAGAGACCAGUGACUGAGGAGGUGGCGGAGGGCCUUCCAGUGGGAACAUGAUGAGGGACACUUUUGGCAAUUUCAUGUGCUCUUGGCACAUGUGUGAACUGUGCUAGCCACACAUGGAGGAGGAGGACGGCUCCCAGGCCUGCUGUCUUUCAGUGAGGGUACAGCAGGGGGCAGAACUGGGGUAGAUGACUGUACAGUUAGUGAUUUUUAUUUUCUGGUCCCCAACCCAUUUCCAGAAAUAUCUAAAGGAGAAAAAAACCUUUAAAGAGCAUUCCACGGGUUGGACAGUGGAGGUCUACACCUGUCACACAGCAUGGGCUGCAGGAGACUCCAUGACCUCCCGUCCUACCCUCACGGGACAACCCCCGAGGGUAGGACCUCUCGCAGCUCGACUUGGUGAGACUGGGCCUUUCAGAGGGGUUUCUUUGCUCUUUCGAUUCUCCCCUGGGAGUCCCUUCAUUUGUCUCUCUGCUAUAGCCUGAUGCCUGUGAUUCUUGUUUUAGACAAACCUUAUUUCCAUCAUCAAUUUUUAACUUUUUAAAAUCAGAGUAGUCAGUUCGCAGUGUGUCAGUUUCUGGUGUACAGCAGUGUCCCCAGUCAUGCAUAUUCACACAUAUUCAUCUUUCAUAACUUUUUCAUUAAAGGUUAUUACAAGGUAUUGGAUAUAGUUCCCUGUGCUCCACAGUAAUUUCUUUCAAAAUCAAUUUUUAUAUAUAGUGGUUAACAUUUGCAGAUUUUGAACUCCCAGUUUAUCCCUUCCCACCCCUCCCCCCCAACCUUGUUUUCUGAGUCUGUUUUGUAAAUAAGUUGUCUUUUUUUUUUUUUUAAAGAUUCCACAUAUACGUUAUAUCACAUGGUAUUUUUCUUUUUCUUUCUGGCUUACUUCACUUAGAAUGACAUUCUCCAGGGCCACCCAUGUUGCUGCAAAUAGCAUUUUUAUUCUUUCUAUGGCUGAUUAGUAUUCCAUUGUAUAAAUAUACCACAGCUUCUUUAUCCAGUCAUCUGUUGAUGGACAUUUGGGUUGUUUCCACAUCUUGGCCAUUCUGUAUGGUGCUAUGAACAUGGGGUGCAUGUCUCUUUUUGAGUUAGAGUUCCCUCUGGAUAUACAUCAUCCUCACUUCUGAUCCUAUAGAAAAUGGUUUAUUCAUUAACUUUGUUAUUGCCUUCCAGAUGAAAAUGUAACUCACAGGUCAGACUUUUUCUUCAUUCACUGCUCUAUCCCCCGUGCUUAAAAUAGUGUCCGGUGCUUAUAAAUGUUUGGUGAAUUUUUAAUUCUUGAGAUUCUUUGCAAAUAAUUGGCUAAUCCUUGGGUUAUUUGUGAGACUCACUGAACUUUCUAACACGUGGAGCACAGCAGGCUCUGCUCUACUAAAUACGUAGUGUUUGGCAUGUAGAUUUGAAGGCUUUUCAUGGAUGGUAUUUAGUAAUCUCAUCCUUGCCUUGCCCAAAGGUCUGGAUUGCUCAGGCAGGGUCAGAAACCCCAUGGCAAUGUGACAUUUACCACUGGAUAUUCAUAUUGUGUAAAAUACGAAUUUCGAGUUCCCUAAACAUUUAAGGUACAACUUAAAAUAGCUUGAGAAUCUAAGAGUUUACCAAAAGCUGUGUAAAGCCUCUUGGGGGAAAAUUAGACAAUUUUAUUGAGGGAGGGUCCUAAAAAUGGGAGCCCUGAACACCUUGCAGGAGUGGAUACCCCAAGUCUCAUUGGGAACCUCAGACUUGCCAAGUGGAAUUUACCUCUCCAGCUGUUUCUUACAUGCUCAGUAAAUCUCUUAAGAUUUGUUCUUCACCAUUUUCUCUAUUCACUCAAAGUACUUAACUGUUUUCUGUUGAUUUGCUCCUGCAUUGGGACCUAUUUAAAAAAUGUAUCCCAUGGAAGAGAACCUACGGUAUUUAGGAAGGCAGGGUAAGAAAGGCAGACUUUCCGAAGUUCUGCAUGAGAUUGCUUCUAUGAGCUUAGAAGACAAAGCCCCAAGAAAUGCAUCAGGAGCUGGAUGCUGGGAGACGAGUAAAAUCCUAAGCUUAGAUCUCACUUUAAACUUAAGCCAUGUAUUCACAGCAGGGUGUUUUCAAGAUCUGGUAGGACAAGGGCGCUAUUUCUAGGAACACUCCACCCAAACCCAGUGCGGUUGGAGGACAGAGGGCUUCUCGCCACCCCCCCCCCCCACCACGGCCGCACACCGGGGCAAGGCUGCUGAUACCCAGGAAGGAAGGAAAGUAGCUGCUGGCAGGUUACAGGGUGAACACCUGAAGUGGGAGAGAUUUAAUUCAUCACUUGGAUUCAGCAGCGUUUACGGACUGCCCAUCAGAUCAGGUAAGCAGGGCCAAGCCAGAAAGAAAACCAGGUCUGGACUGGCCAGUUUAAUUUAAGAUGCCUAUUCUGGUUCGCGCCAGCCCAAGGGCGCUUGGUAGUGCAGCCACAGGGCGCCUGCCGGGUCCCCAGGUCUGGGCCAUCCUGCGGUCCUGAGUUGGGGCAAAAUCUCAAUCAGCAGCUGCUGACAUGAGGAAUGGAGUCUUCUCUGGGAGGCCGUGAAGCUUAUGAGUCCCUGGUCCUAAAACCAAGUGAGUAGGGAGUAGAGCCACUAGAAAUUCCUCAUCAAAUUCCUAGUCCUGGGAUCUCCUGGCUUCCACCAUGCUCACUAUAAACCAAAGUUGCCAGGAGAGGACAACUCUUAGGAAGAUGGAUCAAUGGCGGAAGCUGGUGCCAGAGCAAGGGGCAGAAAGAGCUCUAGGUUGGAGACGGCACUAGACACACAAUUUGAGGGUGGAGUUUGAGGUGUGGGAACGGGGGGGGGGGGGGGGCUGGGGAGUCCAUCUGUGAUGCCACAACUAUUCACCACAACACAGAUGAAAUUGCCAGAAACGUUUUUCUAUUCCUUGCUGCCCCUACAACCUCCUCCAACCCAGAGCAUGCUAACAAAUGCUUUCUCCCUCCUCCUCAGCCACCAGAAAUUACCGCAAGGGGUGCGGACCACUCAGCACCAGGACAGCAUGCGGUCAGGUCCUACACACAGAGCUUUGCAGGUAUACAUUUCAAAGAAUCACGACUAAGAACAGAUCAUUUGAAAAGCACCUGAAACCACCCUCUCAAGUUAUUAGCACGGCUACAGCACAGCGGGAUGAAAACCUUUUAAGGCUACUGUGUGUGUGCAGCCAUAGAGAUGCUCCAAGCUGAAUUAAAAAGAGAAGUUCUAACCACCAGCCUGACACACUUGGCUUGCGACACGUACCAG